rnacentral:piRNA from 1 species
UACCUGACAAUAGAUGGUGUUGCGCUUC